AACUACAUGAUCCACAAUCCCUCCAGCUCUUCAAGCUCUUGGCAUUCCAUUAAGCUACACAGUCUCUGGAGAAUAGCACCAUUUAGAUAGGUGAUGUUGUGUCACAUCAGUGCGAUCCUGUAUUAUGAAGAAAUAUGCAUUAGGUCUAUUGGAGAGGAGCUCUUUAUGAAAGUAUCUGGAAUCUCCACACCCAUCCUUCACUCAGACUUUAAAGGUCAGGAACAGAAGAAGGGUGAAAACAGAGAGUCAACCUCAAAAGCAAACCUAGUACCACAGAACCAGGGAUGGACAUGGG